AUUGAACGCUGGCGGCAUGCUUUACACAUGCAAGUCGAACGGUAACAGGCCGCAAGGUGCUGACGAGUGGCGAACGGGUGAGUAAUGCAUCGGAACGUGCCCAGUCGUGGGGGAUAACGCAGCGAAAGCUGCGCUAAUACCGCAUACGAACUAUGGAUGAAAGCGGGGGACCGUAAGGCCUCGCGCGAUUGGAGCGGCCGAUGUCAGAUUAGGUAGUUGGUGGGGUAAAGGCUCACCAAGCCAACGAUCUGUAGCUGGUCUGAGAGGACGACCAGCCACACUGGGGCUGAGACACGGCCCAGACUCCUACGGGAGGCAGCAGUGGGGAAUUUUGGACAAUGGGCGCAAGCCUGAUCCAGCAAUGCCGCGUGCAGGAAGAAGGCCUUCGGGUUGUAAACUGCUUUUGUACGGAACGAAAAGGCUCUGGAUAAUACCUGGGGCUCAUGACGGUACCGUAAGAAUAAGCACCGGCUAACUACGUGCCAGCCGCCGCAGUAAUAC
rnacentral:rRNA from 1 species